AAGACUAUACUUUCAGGAAUCAUUUCUAUACUAUGUGACUAAAGAAGUUUCUCUGAUCAUGUAGAGCACCCGAAGCCAUGAGGAGGAGCCAUAGCAUCCUCUCCUGAGCUUGACGCCUACUUUAGGUGUUGCUUCUGCGACUGCCUUUGGCUAUUGAUGAACGUUUUUUUUCGUCCUUUGGAAGGGGUAGAGGGAGAGAAUGCAGUCUGAGGGGU